rnacentral:rRNA from 1 species
AACGAACGCUGGCGGCGCGUCUUAAGCAUGCAAGUCGAACGGUAAGGGAGAGCUUGCACUCCCCUAGAGUGGCGGACUGGUGAGUAACGCGUGGGUGACCUGCCCUGAAGAUGGGGAUAGCUAGUAGAAAUAUUAGAUAAUACCGAAUGCGCUCAUUUACAUAAAGGUGAAUGAGGAAAGGAGCUACGGCUCCGCUUUAGGAUGGGCCCGCGUCCCAUUAGCUGGUUGGUGAGGUAAAGGCUCACCAAGGCAACGAUGGGUAUCCGGCCUGAGAGGGUGAACGGACACAUUGGGACUGAGAUACGGCCCAAACUCCUACGGGAGGCAGCAGCUAAGAAUCUUCCGCAAUGGACGAAAGUCUGACGGAGCGACGCCGUGUGAAUGAAGAAGGCCGAAAGGUUGUAAAAUUCUUUUGCAGAUGAAGAAUAAUCAUAGGAGGGAAUGCCUGUGAGAUGACGGUAAUCAUGCGAAUAAGCCCCGGCUAAUUACGUGCCAGCAGCCGCGGUAACACGUAAGGGGCGAGCGUUGUUCGGAAUUAUUGGGCGUAAAGGGUAUGUAGGCGGUUAGGUAAGCCUGGUGUGAAAUCUACGAGCUCAACUCGUAAACUGCAUUGGGUACUGCUUGACUUGAAUCACGGAGGGGAAACCGGAAUUCCAAGUGUAGGGGUGGAAUCUGUAGAUAUUUGGAAGAACACCGGUGGCGAAGGCGGGUUUCUGGCCGAUGAUUGACGCUGAUAUACGAAGGUGCGGGGAGCAAACAGGAUUAGAUACCCUGGUAGUCCGCACAGUAAACGAUGUACACUAGGUGUCGGGGCAAGAGCUUCGGUGCCGACGCAAACGCAUUAAGUGUACCGCCUGGGAAGUAUGCCCGCAAGGGUGAAACUCAAGGAAUUGACGGGGGCCCACACAAGCGGUGGAGCAUGUGGUUUAAUUCAUGAUACGCGAGAAACCUUACCUGGGUUUGACAUCCAGAGCAAUGACAUAGAGAUAUGGCAGCGUA